UUUUUUUUUUCCUUUAGUAGUUUUAAUUGGUACUUUGGGCCGAAAGGCUGGGCCUCACCGAGAAAGGAAACUGAGGCUGAGCAGACACUCUCUGCGUAGGAUCAUCAUGCCGAGCAUAAACUGGACUUUCCCACUUGCCUGGCAGGAGUGAGACAGAUCACUGUGUGCUAUAUGAGCAUCUGAGGAAGCAAGAGGCUACUAUGAGCAGACUGGAGUUGGUCCACUGCCUGUUGUCCUGUUCAAUGGAAUGCCCUUUGAAAAGGAGCAGCUAGACCCUGAUGAGUUGGAAACCAUCACAGUGCACAAAAUCCUGGAGACUACACCUUCUUUCAAAGAGCAGUGUACUUGAAUGGAAAAAUGUGAGGAUAAAGAAGAUGGAUUUUAUAUUGCGUGGGAAAGAAUGGGGAAAAUAAUCUUCAUGUAUGGUGAAAGAGUGGCUAAAGAGAUAUCUGAGAACUUCCCUUGCUGACUCUUAAUUCAAAAGAUGUCCUUGGCGUGUGCACCCCUGUGGAAUCCAGUUCAUCUCCAAUCUGUCAGAAAGCAUCAGAGGUGGUUUUGAGUCCUUAUGUCCUGAGCCUGUGAACAAAAUGUGUAAACUGCAUGGGACAUCAGACCGCUCAUUAUAGAGACAAGUGUGCUCCAUUCCCAAAGUUGGAUGACCAAACAAGUCAUGGUGCAUAUUGUAAUUUCAGUGCUACUGUACAUCUUAAAGCCGUCUGGGACCUUGUGUGGAGGAAAAUGAGAUCCCGAGUGAAGUCUACAAAGUCAUUGACUCUGAAGAAGGACUCAGAGACCCACUGGUGUUUAAUGACCCUUACUGGCCUAUGCAAUGGGAACUGUGUUUUUGCAGAGCAGAAAUUUUUAAUGUUAAUGAAGUCCAGCUCGUCAAUUCUUUCUUCCAUGGAUCAUGACUUUGGUGUUCAAUCAUCACAGCAUCUUCACCAGGAGUAGAUUUCAUCUCGAGAAACCACUUGCCUUGCUUAGCCAUAAGAAGCAACUCCUCAUCUAUUCAAGUUUAUCAUGAGAUUGCAGCAAUUCAGUCACAUCUUCAAGCUCCAUUUCUAAUUCUAGUUCUCUUACUAUUUUCACCACAGCUGAGGAAAUCUUGAACCCUUCAAAGUCACUCAUGAGACACGAACAUCAUACCCAUACGAUGUGAAGAGAUUGUAAAAGAUAUCACUGGAUGCAGCAUUUUCCACACAAGUCCAGGAGCAGCUCCUCCAUGUUUCCAUGAGCCUUUCUUCCUGAGCAAAAGAUUAAAAAGAGGGAGGCUCAACUUUCCUGCAUAAUUAAGAAUUUGCAGCUUGGUAAUGCCAUGAACCACAUCUGCACUGAAAUCAAUUAUCUAUUUGAAACAAGAAAUAAGAAGACCAUUUUGAGAAGAGCAGAUAGUCACCUUAAGAAAAAUCCCUGUCAUACGCACUCUGGGAUUUGGACUCAAAUCCUAAUUAUACAGAUACACAGAGAAGAAGGAAGUCUGCAACACAGAAAAGGGACCUGACAAGAACCCAACCAUGCUGGUACCCUGAACUUAGACUUCCAGCCUCCAGAACUGAGCCAUUUGGAUGCCCAGCUGCUGUCCAUUCUCUACACUUAUCCUACCCAAUGGAACACCGUUGAGAAAAACAUUGCUGCAAUACCAGGAUGUGGCAUGCAUCUAGAGACUUUGUGGAGAGGAAUCGGAGAUGAAAUCUGAUAACUUUGUACAACAGGAAUUCCAUCAGAAAAGUUUAUGAGUGACAGAAGUGGCACUGAGUGCAUUCAAAAGAGGAAAAGUAGGGCUUCCCUGGUGGCGCAGUGGUUGAGAAUCUGCCUGCCAAUGCAGGGGACACGGGUUCGAGCCCUGGUCUGGGAAGAUCCCACAUGCCGCGGAGCAACUAAGCCCGUGUGCCACAACUACUGAGCCUGCGCAUCUGGAGCCUGUGCCCCGCAACAAGAGAGGCCCCCACAGUGAAAGGCCCGCGCACCGCGAUGAAGAGUGGCCCCCGCUUGCCUCAACUAGAGAAAGCCCUCGCACAGAAACGAAGACCCAACACAACCAUAAAUAAAUAAAUAAAUAAAUUUAAAAAAA